AUGGCCUGACGGAGCUUACACAUGCAAGUCGAGGGGUAACAGGGGGUGCUUGCACUCCGCUGACGACCGGCGCACGGGUGCGUAACGCGUAUACAAUCUGCCUUAUACUGGGGUAUAGCCUUUAGAAAUGAAGAUUAAUCCCCCAUAGUCUCUAGAUGUGGCAUCACAAUUAGAGUAAAGGUUACGGUAUAAGAUGAGUAUGCGUUCUAUUAGUUUGUUGGUGAGGUAACGGCUCACCAAGACUACGAUAGAUAGGGGCCCUGAGAGGGGGAUCCCCCACACUGGUACUGAGACACGGACCAGACUCCUACGGGAGGCAGCAGUGAGGAAUAUUGGACAAUGGAGGCAACUCUGAUCCAGCCAUGCCGCGUGCAGGAAGACUGCCCUAUGGGUUGUAAACUGCUUUUAUAUAGGAAGAAACCUUGGUACGUGUACCAAGCUGACGGUACUAUAAGAAUAAGGAUCGGCUAACUCCGUGCCAGCAGCCGCGGUAAUACGGAGGAUCCAAGCGUUAUCCGGAAUCAUUGGGUUUAAAGGGUCCGUAGGUGGAUAAUUAAGUCAGAGGUGAAAUCUUGCAGCUCAACUGUAAAAUUGCCUUUGAUACUGGUUGUCUUGAGUUAUUAUGAAGUAGUUAGAAUAUGUAGUGUAGCGGUGAAAUGCAUAGAUAUUACAUAGAAUACCAAUUGCGAAGGCAGAUUACUAAUAAUCAACUGACACUGAUGGACGAAAGCGUGGGUAGCGAACAGGAUUAGAUACUCUGGUAGUCCACGCCGUAAACGAUGGUUACUAGCUGUUUGGACCUUGUGUCUGAGUGGCUAAGCGAAAGUGAUAAGUAACCCACCUGGGGAGUACGUUCGCAAGAAUGAAACUCAAAGGAAUUGACGGGGGCCCGCACAAGCGGUGGAGCAUGUGGUUUAAUUCGAUGAUACGCGAGGAACCUUACCAGGGCUUAAAUGUAAGUUGCAUAGAUCAGAGAUGGUCUUUUCUUCGGACUACUUACAAGUGCUGCAUGGUUGUCGUCAGCUCGUGCCGUGAGGUGUCAGUUAAGUCCUAUACGAGCGCAACCCCUGUUCGUUAGUUGCCAGCAAGUAAUGUUGGCACCUCUAGGCGAGACUGCGGUGCAAACGCGAGAAGGUGGGGAUGACGUCAAAUCAUCACGUCCUUACGUUCUGGCCUACACACGUGCUACAAUGGUCGGGUACAGAAGAGUC
rnacentral:rRNA from 1 species